rnacentral:rRNA from 1 species
GACGAACGCUGGCGGCGUGCUUAACACAUGCAAGUCGAACGGAAAGGCCCUGCUUUUGUGGGGUGCUCGAGUGGCGAACGGGUGAGUAACACGUGAGUAACCUGCCCUUGACUUUGGGAUAACUUCAGGAAACUGGGGCUAAUACCGGAUAGGAGCUCCUGCUGCAUGGUGGGGGUUGGAAAGUUUCGGCGGUUGGGGAUGGACUCGCGGCUUAUCAGCUUGUUGGUGGGGUAGUGGCUUACCAAGGCUUUGACGGGUAGCCGGCCUGAGAGGGUGACCGGCCACAUUGGGACUGAGAUACGGCCCAGACUCCUACGGGAGGCAGCAGUAGGGAAUAUUGCACAAUGGGCGGAAGCCUGAUGCAGCAACGCCGCGUGCGGGAUGACGGCCUUCGGGUUGUAAACCGCUUUCGCCUGUGACGAAGCGUGAGUGACGGUAAUGGGUAAAGAAGCACCGGCUAACUACG